rnacentral:lncRNA from 1 species
GCUCUCUUCAAAGCUGUCAGACAGGGACAUUUAAGUCUGCAGAGGUUACUGCUGUCUUUUUGUUUGUCUGUGUCCUGCCCCCAGAGGUGGAGCCUACAGAGGCAGGCAGGCCUCCUUGAGCUGUGGUGGGCUCCACCCAGUUGGAGCUUCCUGGCUGCUUUGUUUACCUAAUCAAGCCUGGGCAAUGGCGGGCGCCCCUCCCCCAGCCUCGCUGCAGCCUUGCAGUUUGAUCUCAGACUGCUGUGCUAGCAAUCAGCGAGACUCCGUGGGCGUAGGACCCUCCGAGCCAGGUGCGGGAUAUAAUCUCGCGGUGCGCCGUUUUUUAAGCCCGUCGGAAAAGCGCAGUAUUCUCGUGGGAGUGACCUGAUUUUCCAGGUGCUGUCCGUCACUCCUUUCUUUGACUCAGAAAGGGAACUCCCUGACCCCUUGCGCUUCCCAGGUGAGGCAAUGCCUCGCCCUGCUUCGGCUCGCGCACGGUGCGCGCACCCACUGACCUGUGCCCACUGUCUGGCACUCCCUAGUGAGAUGAACCCGGUACCUCAGAUGGAAAUGCAGAAAUCACCCGUCGUCUUCGUUGCUCAGGCUGGGAGCUGUAGACCGGAGCUGUUCCUAUUUGGCCAUCUUGGCUCCUCCCCUGAUAGUUUUUAUUUUCAAACCAGCGAGAAUGCAACAGGGAACAGAUCUCCAUGCCUCUCACAUUCCUUUAAAGCAUUUGAAGAAUUCAGAAACAAAAAGCUACAAAUCUGCUGGGACCAGAUUCUUGGGUCUGAAUGGUAACCAAAGGGGAAAGAAUCUCAACAGGGCUGAGGAAGAUUGUGUCCAGUUGCAGGGUGCGUGUUUUCAAGAUGCCAAUGGGGUGGCAGUCAAGGUAGGAGAAGCAGCCUGCCACGGUGCAGGUAACAAGGCAGUAGUAUCUGUUGAGAAUUUAAAUAAUAAAACUGACUAGACAGUGUCUCUACUUUUAUUAUUUCUAUUGGAGGACAAUUCUAAACAAUGUCGUUGGGGAAGUGCUCCCUUGAGUCCUGGCAUGUUUUGGAUUUCUUAUGUAUGAGCUGUGGAACUGUGUUCCCCUCGGACACACUGUGGCAGGAGAAUGACAGCCCUAUUGGGGACCUGCCUGAAUAAUUUAGAUGGGACAACGCUGUCUUUGAGGAAAAUGAGAUACGGGCAGUGGUGGGGCUCAGUUCUUUGUUGACUGCUUAUAGUGAACUUGCUGGGGAAUUCCUGCCCUCCUCAUUUUAAAAUCUCUGUGCGGAUGUUGUCCAUACCUGGUGACCUCAUGGCAAGAACAUGGUUUUGGAAGACACUGGGCUUUGUUUAACUGCUCACCGUUGAUAACAGCAGCUCAUCCAUCUUUGCAAAUGUACUUUGAAGCCUUUUUCAUUCUUCUGCAACAUUCCCAGAAAGAACGAAGUUUCCAGCAACUCCAUAUAACAGAGCUUUGCUUACACAUAAGAGCAGUUUGAUGUAGGAAAGGAUACAGGCUCCAACUUGAUUAAGCUCCCUAUGGCCAAAUCUGGGACAAUUUAGAAAGGAAAUAAACAAUGAUAAUAGUAGAUUAUGACCCACAGAAUAAACAAAUACCCACAAGUCCAUGCUGAGAUAAAUAAAUAAUUGAACAAAUAAAGAAAUGGGAGAGAAGAGGGCACUUUUCCUUAGAGCAGAAUUCCAGUUAUUAAAUCUCAAGGGAGUAAGAAGCACAGAAGAUGACUGCUAGGCCUACAUCACACUGAUUGCUGCAGGGGUGGGCCAUGGAUGGAUGCAACAAGAGUGGGCCAGAGGAUGAUGCAAAACAGGGCAUUUGCAAGGUCUCAAGGCACCUCCCCUAAAGAUACUAAUCACAGAGGGAAAAACAGUAACUCUGCAGUGCAGAAGCCUGAAGGAGCCGCUUUAACCAAGUGAUCAAGGACAACAUCGGCAGAAAUGGGACAUAACAUCAUGGACACCUGCUAUGGCGCAGUGGGAAGAGCAUAGGUCACCUCUGUGGCAUCCUUGUCCCAAAUGCAUAACCUCCACCUAACCAGGAGAAAGCAUCAGGCAGUCCUCAAAGGAGGGACAUUUUUGGGAAUAACUGGCCAGUAUUCAAGUGUCAAGGUAACGAAAGACAAAGACCGAAGAGCUGCCCCAGACUGCAAGGCACUAGGGAGACCUGAAACCAAAUGGAUAUGGUCUCACAUGGUCUGUAGAUUAGUUAGUAGUCAUGAACCAAUGUGAAUUUCUCAGAUUAGAUCACUGUACUGUGAUUAUAUAAGAUGUUAGUUUUGGGGAAAGCUGGGAGAAGGUUAAAC